rnacentral:lncRNA from 1 species
AUGCGUGCUUAUGAGAGAUUUCUGUCUUCUUCAUGGACUUUGCUCUAUUUCCCCAGCUUCUCACGUUACAGACACGUACUAGUUAGUGUUCAGCGCACGGGAUCCAGGCCACGGCCAGGCAGGAGGAGGCGGCCUGUACCUCCGCGCCCUGGGCUGACUUUCAGGCCUGGGACAAGCCCCAGGGGCCCCCGCUGCCUUGUGCCAGCCGGACCAGGAGCACAGCGGCACCGGGUCAAGGGAGGCCACACGCGUGGCCAGCGUCCCUCUGCCAGGUUCGCAGGAAGGAGCCCUAUACCUGGGCUGCGCGCCUGGAGGCCGACUGACAUCUCAGACACGGCAGGUGCCUGCUGCGCGCUGUUAUCCGUGUCACGGUCCAGCCUGAGGUCUUCUGCGACGAUGAGGGGUUCGAGUCCCGGUGGAUGAUGUUGUAUAGCAGGGAGCCAGAGGGCAACCCUGCAGCGCCAGAACUCUGCAGGCCCGGCCAGGUAACGAGCCACCUGGUGCCAGCUGCCUGUGGGGCUGCAGCGCGCCUUUCCCGCAUCCAUCGCUGCCCAGAGGUGUGAUCACUGCCCAUUUUUGCUCCAGCAAAGAGGCCCCGGGAGAGCGUGGCUGCAGGUGGAGACCCCACCCAAUUAAGCUUCGGCAAAUCCCCUGCAGUGCCCUGGGACCCUUAGGUCGCUUCGAAGCCCAAACCAGAUAGAAUUUCAAUCACUGUCUCUGUCUUUUUGAGGCUCGACGUUAAAGACGGUAUCUCUGAUUUCCACAGGGAUGUGGCAAUGCUUUGACACUUUUUGCAAGGAGAGGGAGCUUCGGAGACAUCCGCUUUGCUGGGUUUUACUGUGAGCUGGGAAGCCAGAGCCAAACCAGCCAAAUAGCCCAGAAAUUCCCCCAAGGCCCAGAAUCCUGAAUCCACAAGGCCCAUGUAUGAUGGAAGCUUUCAAAAAUAUGUUUUAUCCUGACUCCUGUAAACCAGGGUCCAGACUGGUGGGCCGUAGCCACUAGACCCUACUAACGGGUCCUUGGUCAUUAGAGCUCAGGAUUAGUGUCAGAUAAUCCCCCCAAAGUGUUGGCGCUUCGUUGCCCACUCCAUGGUUCCCCGUUAGGGCCACAGGUCGCUCGGGAGGCAGUUGGGCAGGUUUACAACGUUAACCUGUAGUGUCACUGACCUGCAGUGUUAUCUCUGGGAACUUCCUCAAGAAUUCCAGGAACUCUGAGGCCUUCGGGGUGGAGGAAGCACCGUGACUCUCCACCCUGAGGAGUCAGGCCGGGUCUCUGCUUGUGGGGCUGGAAGUUUCUUCGGUCAUAUGGAUCAAGGAGGCUGGACUUUAGCACCAGUUUGUGUACUUAGGUCCUGGGACUCCUGUGAUCAGUGGAAGACUUCUGCAGGCCGGCCCCGUGAUCGCCACUUGGUCCUGCUGCACAUCUCAGGAAGACGUCCCCUGGCCCCUCAGGGUUCCCAUCACCCCCUCUGAAAUCAGAGAGCCCUUCUCAGGGCAGCAAACCUUAGGCUGUCCCAGCAGCCCCUGGGGAUGGAGAGGGUGGAUAUUCACUUCAUCUCUCUUCAAGGACACUGAUGAUAACCUUGACAACUCCUCUCAAGCAGGUAAAGGGACUGUGUCCACCUGGGGGUGAGGGGGGGGCGAGGGGUGGAGGAGGGGACGGGUGUUGUGGAUUCUUUUUUUUUUUUAAAGAUUUUAUUUAUUUAUUCAUGAGAGACACACAGAGAGAGGCAGAGAGAGGAAGAGGAAGAAGCAGGCUCCAUGCAGGGAGCCCGAUGUGGUACUCGAUCCCGGAACCCCGGGAUCACGCCCUGGGCCGAAGGCAGGUGCUCAACCGCUGAGCCACCCAGGCAUCCCCGGAGCUGUGGAUUCUUUGCUCCACAUCAGUGCAAGGAACCUCGGAAAGCUUCCUUUCCUUUAUCUUGGGCUCGCACCAAGUCCACGUUCCGGUCCGUGGCUGAGCCAACAGCCCCACUCUCAGCUCACUCCCUGCGGGUCUCCCGAGUUUCGCUAAGUGCAGCUGUACUAAUAAAAUAAGCGCUAAUAUUCUCAAAUCCAUUCUCACAUAGAUUCCCUGAGUUUGGGAUUAAAUAAACAGGCAAAUACUGGGGGUUUGGGUAGGGGAAGGUACAUACCCUCCUGUUUCCUGAGGAUUGGGCUCCUCUCUGUCAUCUUGCAUGGUGACAGGUGGACAGGCGACAAGGGCUGCCGAGUGAGGAGGAGAUGAGAGGUCCAGCUUUAUCAGCUGGGAGGGGGCUUUGUGGGCUCCGGGGCUUUGGGAAUCUCAGCAACAUUCCCAAGGUGCCCAAACUAUGCCCAAGGUUCUGGCACUUUCCUUUAAGAGGCCUGGAGGGGCUAGGAGUUUGCUCUGUGUUAAAGUCAGACUCUGUUUUGUUUUGUUAAAAAUGAAAUGUCAAGUGAAUCCUUUUUUUUUUUUUUUAAGAUUUAUUUAUUCAUUUUAGGGGAAGGAUGGGCAGAGGGAGAGACAGAGGUACAGAAGCAGACUCCCUGCUGAGUGCAGAGCCCCGGGCGGGGCUCGAUCCCACCACCCUGAGAUCAUGACCUGAGCCGAAAUCAAGAGUCCGGCACUCAAUCAGCGGAGUCCCCCAGGCGCCCCUCUGCUCAGUUUUGAGUGACGUUAGCCACGGCUGCAAAGACAAGCUCUCUGAUUCUGUUAACAUGCCGUAAGCCUCACUGCUUUCUCCAAACUCUGCUCAUAAUUAAGAGCGGCAGCCCCCACGGCUCACGCCCUUCACACUGGUUCACCCCUGCGGCCACUCGGGCGACCGCCGCUGGGCUCCGAGCCCUUCAUUCCAGGUGACCACAGGCUGUGACCUCGGUCACUGUGGCUCCACUGUGGGCCACACUCCCGCCUGUAAUGCCGGCGGGGCUGCUCGGCCUGCAGCCCUAGCCAAUGCCAGAUCCCUCUUCCCGAGGGUCUGCUCUCAGGGCGCAGACAGCAGAGGCCACCGUCGCUAGGAGACGGAGGCUUGGAGCUUCUGAGGGAACAGGGGCCAGGUUGGAUGUCACCACCCAGGAGUAGCACCCAUGGGGGAGACACUUAAGGGCUUCCCGAAGAAACCUGUCAGCAGGCAGGCUUGUCCCCCCAUUGGGGCAUAGCCCCAACCUGGCGUCGGAGUCCCGGGCCCAGCUCAUGGCCUCUCUCUCUCUCUCUCUCUCUCUCUCCUCUCUCUAUCUCAUUCUUCAUGCGGCCUCUCCAGUCUGGGCAGGGGGACAGCCAAGCCGCAGGCACGGACAGGCCGACACGGAGGGACGUGGGUGGGCAGAUCGGCUGCGAGGCUGGAGGGCAGAGCCCGGUCCCCCGGGGAUCACAGACCCAGCGUGGGGAGGGAGGACCCCCGGCGGGGGAUCCAGGCCUGCAGAGGCCCCCGGGGCAGGAUGAGCCCCGUGUGCCCUUGGGGCCUGUCCAGGGAGGCAAGCACCCUCCUGUCUGCUGCGACCCUUCUUGCCCUUCCAGGGACUGGACGCAGGGCCUGCUCGUUCUCUCGUCGGUCACCCAUCAGAGAUGAUCUCGGGGACAGCCCCGCGGAGCGUGAGGAGCCACGAGUCAGCAGGGCCUCAUCCCCUGCGGCGGCUUCUCUGGGCCUCCCCGCUCCCCCUGCCUCCUGCACCCCCACUGAUGUGCCCUGUGCUCCUCUCUGGGGGGCCCGGGGGCUCCCGUCAGACAAGCAGCCACCUGCCUCUCCCCCAGCUGCCCGGGGCCCCCCCUCUCCUUCCCAUCUUCAAGCGGCUCUAAAGCACGGCCUGUUCGGACGAGGCCAGGCGCCCGAGGACAGCAGUCUCCGCCGUUAGGCAGACGUGGGUUCAAAUUCUGGCUCUGCCUCUGCUCACGGGCUCUAUCACCCCAGGCGAGUGACUCAGCCUGAGUCCCAGGUGUCUGACCGAGAAAAGCGGGGAGCAAGGGACGAGCGGCAGGACUGCUGUCGACAAGAAAGGAGCCGCACCCGUGCAGUGGCUGCCACCGUCCCACCCACGGGGCAGGUGGUAAUCCUGACGACACGUCUGGAUAGUCUCUUCAGCCCUCAGGGUGGCUCUAGGCCCCCUGCUCUGAUGGAGAGGCUGAGGCUCAGGCACCUUCUCCAGGGUGGAGGCCGGAAGCUCACAUAGGCCGUCUGGCCCAGGAUCUGCGUCCACUCCUGCCUGGAGCUUCUCUGUCCCCACCCAGGUGGGGCCUCCAGAGACACUGUGGUCCCUCCUGGCCUUAGGCCACUGACAUCUGCGCAUCUUCCCUGGUCCCUGCUGGGUCCCACCUGGCCCAGCCCUUGCCUGCUGCAGAAGCCCUUGGAAAGAACACCCCUGCCACCUCCUGACAGAUGCUCAGCGAGGUCACAGAACCCACGGGAGGGCAGAUCCACCUGGCUUCACGCCGCACUUGGUGUCUCCAGCCCACGUGCUUGGUGCCCUUCGCAAGGUGUCAAGCUCACGGCCCCGACGCACCACCUUGAAGAAGCAGAGCAUCCCCAGGUUGCUGGCCUGUAGCUGGCCCGUCCUGGGAGACCUAGGAGGCGGGGGUGCUGUCCCGACUCACGCGUGGGGAACCCAAGGUCGAGGGAGCUCUGAGCCUUUGCCAAAGUCACACAGCUGGUGCCGACCGAGGGCCUUCCUGCCUCUUGCUGGUCGGCUGGCAUCUGUGCUGUGCUGCAGAGCCGUCUUCCUGCCCAGGCCCUGCGCUGGAAUCACGGGGGCGGGGUGGGGGGUGGGGACCAGAUUCUCAUCCCACUAAGUCAGGGUCUCUGGGGCGGGGCCCAUGCAUUGGUGUCGCCUUUUCAAUCCCCGGGGGAUUCCAGCGUGCAGCCUUGGUUCCUGGCCCUGCCAUUCCCACGGGGAGCGGGAUUACCCCGAAUCACGCACCGGCUUGAAGGCUUGAGAACAAAUCGUGCGUGUGGAGGACGUCUCUGGAAAGACUGGGGAUAGAUCGGGGCCAGAGAUCUUUUUGAAAUCCUGAGUUCAUCUGGGGACACGGGCCUCUGUCUAACCAGCUCAGAAACGGCCGAGCAAGACAAGACACAUAAGCACGUAGGGCUUUGAUGAGGACAAAAGAACUGGAAUAUUAACACAAGAAAGAACAACCCCCCCCCCCCCCCCCCCCCCGCCCAGAAAAAAGAAAGAAAAGAACAAAGCCUCCUGGAUUAAGCCUGCAGAGUGCACAUUUGCUCCAAAGGCAGCCCCGGGAGGUUUCCAUCU